rnacentral:lncRNA from 1 species
GCUCUGCAUGCCCGGAUCCCAGUGUUCGUGCCGUGACAAUAAAUGUGGAAUUAGGGGCCCCAAAAUGCCCAGGGGUGGGGCAGUGGGGGUGGAGGAGGAAGGGAGCGGGAGCUGCCAGAACAGAGAGCUGAUUUCAUCUCAUCUUUCUGGGCGAAGAUGCCGUGUCUGCUGUGAACGGGGUUGCAGCUGAGUCUAGAGCCUCUGGUCAGAUGGGAAUUUCAGAUAAACAGCAGGAUGGGGGUGUGAGGACGUCCCUGCAGUAUUGGCUGGCCUGGACCCACACGGCUGUUGCUGCCAGAGCACCAGGGCAGGACCCAUCUCCAGGGAGAGGAGGGACUGCCCGCCCUGAGGAGCCAAGAGAGGAGCCACUGCAGGGGAGGCCAAUCACCCAGGCACCUCCCUGACCACUGCCAUGUGCAGGCCCAGCUCAGGCCUCUCUGCAGAGGAGCCUGUGUCUCCUCUGGGAUGAAGGAGGGUGGAGAUGAGGGUACCUCGGUGCUGGCUUCGUCUGUGGGUCAGAAAGGCAAGAACCAGGACCUUUGGAUCGCGAUGUCCUGCAGGAACCCAGGAGCCAGGAACGACGUAGGGGAUUUUGACCAACGCCACAGUGACCUAGAAUUCACGCUAAACAAACGGUGUAAGAGCUCUGGAGCCGUGAAGAGGAAGCACCAGACAGGAUUCCCCUGGAAAGGACACAGCUGGUGCCCGGGAGCCGCCUGUGCCUCCAAGGAGAUCCUGACCCUCUCUGAACCCCCUUGGCAGGAGGGGUGGGCAUUUCAACAUGAAGUGAAGAGACAGACAAGAGGAGAAAACUGAGGAAUAAAGAAGGUGCAGAGUGAGAAGCAGCUGGAGGAAUGGGGACCAAGGUACCCUGCUUGGAGCUUCUCCAGCUGUGGGUGAGGGGCUGGGACCACCCUGUCAUGAGGUGAGGAACCUGAGACCCAGAUGGG